CCCUUAGAUGUUCUGGGCCGCACGCGCGCUACACUGACGAAGUCAGCGAGCAUGUCCUACGCCGAUAGGUGCGGGGAAUCUUGUGAAACUUUGUCGUGCUGGGGAUUGAUUUUUGAAAUUCUUGAUCAUCAACGAGGAAUUCCUAGUAAGCGCAAGUCAGCAGCUUGCGUUGAUUACGUCCCUGCCCUUUGUACACACCGCCCGUCGCUACUACCGAUUGAAUGGUUUAGUGAGAUUUUUGGACUGGAACUCUCUUGUUCAGCAAUGAACGAGAGGGACUCUGGGAAGCUAUUCUAACUGAAUCAUUUAGAGGAAGUAAAAGUCGUAACA
rnacentral:rRNA from 1 species